rnacentral:rRNA from 1 species
AUUGAACGCUGGCGGCAGGCCUAACACAUGCAAGUCGGACGGUAGCACAGAGGAGCUUGCUCCUUGGGUGACGAGUGGCGGACGGGUGAGUAAUGUCUGGGGAUCUGCCCGAUAGAGGGGGAUAACCACUGGAAACGGUGGCUAAUACCGCAUAACGUCGCAAGACCAAAGAGGGGGACCUUCGGGCCUCUCACUAUCGGAUGAACCCAGAUGGGAUUAGCUAGUAGGCGGGGUAAUGGCCCACCUAGGCGACGAUCCCUAGCUGGUCUGGGAGGAUGACCAGCCAAACUGGAACUGAGACACGGUCCAGACGCCUACGGGAGGCAGCAGUGGGGAAUAUUGCACAAUGGGCGCAAGCCUGAUGCAGCCAUGCCGCGUGUAUGAAGAAGGCCUUCGGGUUGUAAAGUACUUUCAGCGGGGAGGAAGGCGGUGAGGUUAAUAACCUCACCGAUUGACGUUACCCGCAGAAGAAGCACCGGCUAACUCCGUGCCAGCAGCCGCGGUAA